UGCAAGGGAGCGGGAGCACAAUGUCGCGACCGAAACGUGGAGGUUGCGCUCAUCCUGCCACCGCCAAUCAUGGGUGACAACCACCGGGGUCCUGGCCAGCGCCGCUGUGGCAAUCCCCCGGCCUGCCGCCGCUGCCAUGUUGUGCAGCCAUAAACAGCCACGAAGCUAGGACGACGAGUACCCGUUCAUCCGCGAUGACAUCAUGGGCGAUGACUCGCUGCAGCCAUGAUCGCCAGGCUAUACGCUACACGCUCGCCGGCGGCACAUGUUACGUUCUUCCUCUACUGUGCUCCAAGUCAGCACGUUUCCACCAUGGCACACCUCGCAGUCUCCUUACGCCGCCGCCAAUCUCGCCGCUAGGGGUGCCUCAAUGCUCCUACCCAUGUCGUGUCAGCCACGCCUCAACUUGCCGGCCGAAUGGCAGCACCGCUGACCGGGGAGGCAGAGGACAGGCUCAAGCAGUGCGGCCUGCAGGGGAACAAGCGGCGGAAGCAGUAUGCAGGCCACAGCUGUUGCAGUACAUGGGAAGUAAUUUUUAUUUCUUUGUCCAGCAAACUCAUGCAUGUAUGUGAUGUGCCGUUCUAGGUGCCACCCAAUUUUGUGGCUUUCUCCAACACUAGAGCUUUGGGGGAAAAGAAGAUGGAGCAGAAUUGUUUGAGAUCACCACAGUAGAGCAUGGGCAAAUUUUCAUGAAGAAGAACUUCGGUCCAAGAAGUGAGUUGCAGGCAUAUUUGUAGCAGAACCAUAACUCUAGCAUGGACAUCCGCCGAGGAAAAUCAAUCUGUGCCAAGGCUGAUCUGUGCACGAUUUGGUGCCCGCUGACAUCAUCACAACUUGGAUAUUAUGUCCAUGUUCCUGCUUCCAAGAAGCAAGAGUCAGAAUGGAGCAGGGGAAUAAAUUUCAUCUUGCAAAGAACAGGAUACAAUCGUCUAAUAACAUGGCAGAGUUCUCGGCAAGGGACAUGUAAACAUACCGCUUUUUUAUCGUACACUAGGUGAAUGCCCGUGCAUUGCACGAGGGCACAUACAUUCUAGUUGCUCAUUUCUAUUCAUGUUGAACAUACACCUUUAAGUUCUAAUGCACUUCAGGUGACAUUUUCAACCUUUCU